GGAAGUAAAAAUCGUAACAAGGUCUCCGUAGGUGAACCUGCGGAGGGAUCAUUACAGAGUUCAUGCCCUACCGGGUAGAUCUCCCACCCUAUGUUAUUAUUACUUUGUUGCUUUGGCGGGCCGUUAGGCUCCGGCCCGACUACCGGUCCCGGCUGGUAAGCGCCCGCCAGAGGACCCAAAACCCUGAAUAUUAGUGUCGUCUGAGUACUAUAUAAUAGUUAAAACUUUCAACAACGGAUCUCUUGGUUCUG
rnacentral:misc_RNA from 1 species